GUGAGGAAUAUUGGGCAAUGGCCGAAAGGCUGACCCAGCAACGCCGCGUGGAGGACGAAGACCUUCGGGUUGUAAACUCCUUUUCUGGGGGACGAGGAAGGACGGUACCUCAGGAAUAAGUCACGGCUAACUACGUGCCAGCAGCCGCGGUAAAACGUAGGUGGCAAGCGUUAUCCGGAUUUACUGGGCGUAAAGCGCGCGCAGGUGGUUAUGUAAGUUGGGUGUAAAAUCUCCUGGCUUAACUAGGAGGGGUCGCUCAAAACUACAUGGCUUGAGGUCGAGAUAGGGGUGCAGAAUUCCCGGUGUAGUGGUGGAAUGCGUAGAUAUCGGGAGGAAUACCAGUGGCGAAAGCGGCGCCCUGGCUCGCACCUGACGCUGAGGCGCGAAAGCGUGGGGAGCAAACGGGAUUAGAUACCCGGGUAGUCC
rnacentral:rRNA from 1 species